CAGUUUGUUCUGAACACUAAAACCCUCCCGACUACCUAAUUUACAGAGGAAGUGGGUCAGCGGAGCGAUACGCGUUAGGUGCUUUCAGAGUCUUCAUCGCGUUUUUCGACGUUUUCCAAAAACAAUCCUUGACGGCGGGGAACCCCGCUGCUUGAUAGCCGGCGUCGUCGAGCAAACAGGCCACGCGCUCAUUUAGCCUUGUUUUUAUUUAUAUUAUCCCAGUUCCUUCGCGGAGUUAAAAACACCUAAGGGCUAAAAAAAAUAUAUAAUGUCGGGAGAGCAAAUUCUCAUCACGCUGGAGACAGGCAAUGGGACACCGAGUUCGUUUCCAGUGGUCCUGAAGAAAAUAAUGGAAAUGCCUCCGCCGAAUAUACUGGACGGCGACGACGACACCGACAAAGAGAAGCUGUGUCUGGGAGAUAAUGUCGACCUCGGCGUCGGAGGCAGCGACAUGGGUCCGUCGGCCGCCCUGACCCCCGCCAUCUGGGACAAGACCAUCCCCUACGAUGGCGAGAACUUUCACCUGGAGUACAUGGACCUGGAGGAGUUCCUCAUGGAGAACGGCAUCCCCACCUCGCUCGACGAGGAAUCCCCGAAGGGGAGCCCAGAAGGGGAAGCCGGGGACACGGAGGAAGUGAAGGCGACUCCCAGCGCGAAGACCAAGGUUAUCAAGCAAGCAAGCGCUUCUCCGGUGACCCUGCUGCCCAUCCAGGAUUUGGACAAGUGUGAGGAAGUGGUGAUCAUCACCAAGAACGACUCCGAUGUCACCUGUGACGUCAUUGCAGAGGUGACCACUGAAAAGGACAGAGCGACCCCGGAGCCCAUCAGCCCAGACGAUAUCGAGGUGGAUAUCGAGUACGAGCCGGAUCCUACAGACCUGGUCUUGUCCAGUGUGCCUGGAGGCGAACUGUUUGACCCACGCAAACACAAGUUCACCGAAGACGAGCUGAAGCCGCAGCCUAUGAUUAAAAAGGCCAAGAAGGUGUUUGUGCCUGAUGAACAGAAGGAUGAGAAAUACUGGCAGAGGAGGAAGAAGAACAACGUGGCCGCCAAGCGCUCGCGCGAUGCCCGCAGGUUAAAGGAGAACCAGAUCACGGUCCGAGCGGCUUUCCUGGAGCGUGAGAACGCGGCGCUGCGGUCGGAGGUGGCCGAGCUGCGGAAGGAGUGCGGCCGCUACAAGAACGUCAUGGGUCGCUACGAAUCCAAAUUUGGACCACUGUAAGGGACCGAACACACGGAGGAGUGAAUGGACAUCCACACGCAGACAGCCCAGUUUCAGUCAUUUGUCUUUACAUGUGAGGCACAUCUUGAACGACAGCCUUGUUGACAGAAUCUACAGCUUACUUGUUGCAUGGGUGCGGUGCCAGAUGACCAGUAGGCAACAGUUGAUUUAUUCAUUUAUUUUUUCCAAUGAAUAAAUAAAUCAAAACAUUGCGGUUGGUACGUGUGCGUAAAGAAGACGACGACAAAGAGGAGAAGAACGCGUGCGAGGGCAUUGGCCGAUGUUGCCAUGGAGAUAUAACGGCAUGUUAAGAUAUCAAUAUCUGGUUUUUAUUUUUAUUUUUUUAUCAACUGUUAUUUAGCAUCUGCGUGAGUGAGAAGAGUGUGAGAGGAUUUUCAAGUGCUUCUUCAGUGCGCCUUGUUUAUGAGGCGCACUUUUAUCAAGUUUUUACAUCUCUGUCCUAAAGAUAAUGAGAUAAUAAUAAUUUGUGAUGUUUAUUUUGGACUUUUGGAUCUCUGGGUUUUAAAGGAGAUGGGUGUCAUUUAGGUAGCAGAUGCAAUAGUUUAGUCACAUUAGUGUUUGCAGGUUGCUUCCAGCUGUUCUCAGAUUUUAAGAAAUUCUGACAACCACUUGUCCAAUUUAGUUUUCAAGUUUUUAUUAUGUGGCAGAUUGUAUGAAGACAAGCAGGGCCUUGUUUUUGCCCUCUCAAAUUUUAUUGACUGUGACAUUUCCAUUAAUUUAACUACUUCAGGGGAUUAAAGUGACAUGGCAAAAAAAAAAAGUGUGGCCAUGUCAGCAGCGGCGCAGAGCUGUAUGUAAACGCUCUGCUUCAGUGUAAGCUUUUCUGUUGCUUGAGUUAUUUUUGUCCGAACGUUGGACGCCCUGCUUUGCUCUCUGCAGGUUGUCAGAGUUGACGAGUCCAUUAAAUGUGUAGAAUCUAUUGAUGCUUGUAUUGUAAAUAGUUCUAAGCUAAAAAAAAAGUCAUCUAAAAAUCUACUCAGACUUAUAGGACAAACACUCAGAUACUGUGAUAGUCAGGUAUUUGUAUAAUGUUGAUUUACAUCAGGAAUGAAACAAUGAAAUUUCCCUUCCUAAAAGCCCAAACUGCACCAUUUGCUCAGCACCGUUUGGGAGCAAAGUUAAUACACAACCCUAAGUGCGGAAUGAGUCACCAACAUUUUUAAAAUCGUUUUCCAGGACAACUCCAAUAUACCAUUAAGUGCAACAACGUUUUUAUCGAUGGUGACAUGAAGUUUAAAACAUAUCCUAUAAAAACACUUAACGUCAAGUUUGAUUUUAUGGAGGACCUUUCUUCAGACUUUUUUGUUAGUAUCUGCAGUUUGUUUUUAAGAAAGACUGAGAUUGGUAGUCUCAGUAAUAAGCAUGAGGGAUCUUUAAUACUUCAAAGUGUCUUCUAUUUCUAAAGUGGUUUCAAUUCAGCAAACAUACAGCCUGUGAGUUUACUGGGGACGUUGUGCAACAUUACACCUGAAAAUAAAGGUUCUUCACUGUCUAGUUCUCUAUUGACAAUAAGGGAAAGAUUUUAUAUCACUCCUUUUCUGCUGUGCUUCCAUCCAUCUAUAUUUUUUACCAAAAUAAAUCCAAUUUUAUUAUUUGUGAAUAAAAACAGGCAUGUGCUGUUUUGUGAAAACCAAAAUGUUGUUGAAAUAUUUCAAGCCUUUUUGAAGCUCUACAGAGAUUACUUCACUCCAAGCCUCAUUCAGUUUAUUCUCAUAUUCCAUAAUACGGUCUCUUUUUAAAGAGUCAUUUUUAGUUAGGAUAUUUUUUGGAAUAAUUCUUAGCGAUAGUUACCACUCUGUCUCGUUCUCUUUUUUUUUUCUAUUCUAUUUUAAUGGAGGCUUCAUCUUCCUCUUCUGGAACAGGUCAAUUUGUUAUUUUUGAGAGGUUAGUUCAACCUUCCUGGUUAAGAUUUUGUAUUUCUUUGUUAAAAAAAUGUUGGCUUGUUCAGUGUGGCUAUGUUUUGUGUCUUGUGUAUAUAUAUAUAUAUACACACACACUAUAUGUAUAUAUACUAUGUACAAUUAAAGCUUCGUUGACAGAA